rnacentral:piRNA from 1 species
UCUUAUAGCCUCCAUGUGCAGCUGUAUGC